GGGGUGGGGGGGAUCUAAAAGGAGAACCAUCAUAGUUACGAUGUAAAAGGAGAACCCAAAGGAAGGGAAAAAAAAAAUGAAACAAUCAAUCACAUUUUUGACGAUUUGGGAUUGAGGGAGGAUCCCUCUCCGACUGAAAUUGGAGGCUCUGUGAUGAAGCCUAGUCUGCUGUGAACGGCGAGAGCAAAAGUCUAACCUGACCAAGUCGUCUGAGCACAAGGAUCCAACAUCACUGUUCACCGAUCUGAGAGCGACUAGGCAUCUGAGUCGAUGGGGGCUACGUACCGCUUUACAUUAAGUUGGGGAUGAAAGUUAACGUUUGAUAUGAUCAAAUCUGUGUGCAGAAAGUCACCACGACAUUUACAAAAUAUUAAAAUGUAUAACAAAAUGCUGAGUCUAUAACAUUAUAAGGUAGAGGUUUGAAGUGACUGAUCACACUUGCUGUCUGAAAAUGAUGACAGCGAGCAGGUGAAUCAAAUCAUCAAUGUGAGAGAGUAUGUGUAGCCAUAGAUACUGUUCAAUAUCCCUCUCUUGCAUUCAUUUUUGGCACAGAAAUCACACCUCAUUGAAAACAUUAAUAGCAGCAGUCAACUGUGAGUGUCCCGGCCUUUCUUGUGUUAAUUACCUCGCUAGGUGGAACUGCCAAGUAGAUUUGUGUGAUAUCAUCUCACAACCCGGCCGACCGUGAGUGUUGAAGCUCCCAAACGCUCAAUGGUGUCUGUUAACGAUGCCGUCACAGCCCUCCUCCUCCCUUUAUCAAGCAUCCUCUCUAUUCUCAGUGAUCUUGAUCACCUGGUCAGUCAGCCAGGGCAGUUCAUCUACCAGUCAGACUCUUUGGCGAGUGCGCACGGGGAUCGCAGCUCCAAGCCUAAAACACCAACAUACGCUCCAUCGCCGACUCCCCUUUCAUCAUUCCCUCCAUGUAUCAGUAAUAAUAAUAAUAAUAGUGCAUUCUAGUCCGAUUCCACCUGAUGAAAGCGAAGCCAAAUGAGCGUGUUGUGUUUGUUCAGCAGUGGGCAGUCGGACUGAUGAAAAAUCCUGAAAGAAUAUUCCUGCAGCCCUCGACAUGCACAUAAACAUCAACAAGCAUCAUAUCUCAUAUAUUUACACCGAAACAAACUCUGUGUGGAAAUAAUAUAAGAUAAUAUUGCAGAGUGCAGACUCUGCAGUUUUUCUAUAUAAUGAACUAACACAAACAAGUUCUUUAAGAAAUACUGCUGGUAAACAUGCAUCCAUCAUAACAUGCUGUCAAUUUUGAGAUAUAGGGACGUUUUUUUGAAUCUGCACCGGUCAGACAACCUCUUUAGUCCAAACAGAAAAACAUGAAAUCUUCUUCAAAAUAAUAUUUUGACAAUUUCUAUUGGCUAGAUGUUCAUAACAUUUGUUUCAGACGCCCAUGUCCCUGUAAGAUGAAACUAAAAUCACUUUUUUAUUCCCUUGGUUUAGAUUCAGCGCCAUCAUGAACAUCAUGAUGGCUUGCUAAACAUCAGCAUGUUUGAAUUGCCACUGAGUAUGUUGCCAUGCUAGUGUUAGCAUCUAGCUCAAAGCAUUUACAGUAAAUGCAGUACUGUACCUAAUUGCAGCCUCACUGAGCCUCUAACAUUGCUGUAGGCUUCAUCAUUUCUCCCUCUGCUGAGUGCUUAACUCAACAUAUCAGCAUUUAUUCCUAAUCAUAAAACAAAUGCAAUUUUGAAAAAUGUGUAAAUGAUUAAGUGACGUUCACGAUGUCUAGAGAAGGAAUAUUAAUCCCCCAUUAAGCCUACAUAUAAUAGAUUUGUAUCAUUGUAUAUGGCUCGCUUGGCAUGAUUAAAAAAACGACCUGAUAGACAGAUGACCAUAUGUAUAUCUUGUUACUUGUCCAAGUCUAAAUACUGUUCUCAUUUUAUACGCUGCACCACUACAGCCUCUGCAGCGCUUCACUGCUUACUCAAUGCUUAUGUUCAUUAAUUCAGUCGUAAUCACUUGAUAUCCACAAAAUAGGAGAUAAGAAUCAAACAUUGGACGUGCACAUGCAUAAAAAUGGGACUUCAAAUAGCAUAUGAAGUAAACAAUAUGUUUGGAAUGAAACUGAAACACAGCAAAGUAAAAAAAAUAAAUAACUGUUAUUAUAACACAUUU